rnacentral:rRNA from 1 species
AGCAGUAGCCACGGGAAUACAGAGGGUGCAAGCGUUAAUCGGAAUUACUGGGCGUAAAGCGCGCGUAGGUGGUUUGUUAAGUUGGAUGUGAAAGCCCCGGGCUCAACCUGGGAACUGCAUCCAAAACUGGCAAGCUAGAGUACGGUAGAGGGUGGUGGAAUUUCCUGUGUAGCGGUGAAAUGCGUAGAUAUAGGAAGGAACACCAGUGGCGAAGGCGACCACCUGGACUGAUACUGACACUGAGGUGCGAAAGCGUGGGGAGCAAACAGGAUUAGAUACCCCGGUAGUCCCUGUCUCUUAUAC